rnacentral:rRNA from 1 species
CUACGGGAUGCAGCAGGUAGGAAUAAUUUACAAUGCACGCAAGUGUGAUAAUUUGAGCCAGAGUGCGUUGCUAUUGAAACGCUUUUGUGAAAGGUAAAAAGUUUCACGAAUAAGGACUGGGUAAGACGAGUGCCAGCCGCCGCGGUAAUACAUCGCGGUCCAAGUCGCAGCCAUUUUUAUUGGGUCUAAAACAUCCGUAGCUUGCUCGGUAAGUUUCUUGUGAAAUCCUAUAUCUCAAGUAUAGGAAGUGCAAGAAGUACUGCCAAGCUAGAGACCGGAAGACGGAAGGAGUACGUUCGAAGUAGCGGUAAAAUGUGUUAAUCUCGGACGGACUUACAAGAGCGAAGGCACCUUUCGAGGACGGUUCUGACAGUAAGGGGUGAAGGCUAGGGGCGCAAAACGGAUUAGAUACCCUGGUAGUC